GCUAAGUAAAUAAAGAAAAAAUUCAGAGAGUUAAUAAACAAAAACAACGUAAAUGUCAAAAGGUCAACUGAGAAGUGAAGUAAAUAAUUUACAUAAGCAAGCAUACAUACAAUACAAACAAACAACAAACUCAAAGCACCUGCUGAACGUAUGUCAACCAGCAAGUGAUGAAAAAGCAGAGAAAAAUAAUUUUAUCUUAAGAAAAACAAAAACAAAACUGUGUGAAAAAGAUAGAAAAAUAAUACAAAAAUGAAAAAAAAUGUAUCAUAAUAGUAAAUAAAAUCUGUCACAAACAGAUAACGCCAACCAGCUAGUCAACUGACUAAUUAUAAAAGUGGGCAACUCAUGCUUACAAACGAGUUAUUUGUGCAAAAGUGAGUGUUAAAGGUCAAACAAUUUUCACGAACUCAGCCGAGCUGAAAAAGUAUUCCCACUUGGUUACACCCACAUUUCUUUGCUUUAAGUAGCUGUUUGUUGUAAGCACCGUGCCGUGAAAGAAAAAUUUAAUCCUAUUGCUUUGACUGAUAAGCUUCGUUCUCUUUGGAAUAUCUGUCAACUUCGUCUGAAACAUAUGACAAAGAGCUCCAUCCAACACAAUUGCUGAGUUAAUUGCUUCAAGCAUUUUUGUGACUAAAUAAAACUUGGAUUAAAUUUUGUAACCAACAGCAAAAACAACAAAAAAAAAGCAACAACAUCAAGUAGCUGCAGUUAAGCAGUAAGAAAAGACCAGAAGCAACAGGAAAGACGACAUAGCGGAACAACGCCAUCGUCACAUGAUGCCAACAACAACAAUAGCUGCUGGGCGCCAACAGUGAGAGAAUAUAAAUCAAAUGCAAGUGAAAAUUAGCAAAAAGGAAAAACAAAUUACAACAGCAACAAUAUUAAAAAAAAAUAGAGUGAAUUAAAGAAAGUGCAGCAAUUAAGGCAAGAGUAAAUCGGCAAAUGAUACCAAAAAAAAUUAUUAAAAAAAAAAUUAAAGAAAGCAAAGAAAGUGGGAAAUCUCAAGCAAAUA